UACGUAGGGUGCAAGCGUUAAUCGGAAUUACUGGGCGUAAAGCGUGCGCAGGCGGUUCUAUAAGACAGAUGUGAAAUCCCCGGGCUUAACCUGGGAAUGGCAUUUGUGACUGCACGGCUAGAGUGUGUCAGAGGGGGGUAGAAUUCCAGGUGUAGCGGUGAAAUGCGUAGAUAUCUGGAGGAACACCGGUGGCGAAGGCGGCAUCCUGGACCAUUACUGACGCUGAGGAGCGAAAGCCAGGGGAGCAAACGGG
rnacentral:rRNA from 1 species